rnacentral:rRNA from 1 species
AUGAACAUCCAAAGCAACUUCUACACAGGAUCAUACCUCCAUGGUCGUAGAAUGCCAAAGUAUGUUGGGAAACUACCGUCAGAUGCGAGAAGAUUCACAGGUUUUGCUGACCCUCCCGUCAGCCUAUACGACAACAUACCCAAUGAGAUAAUGUCAGAUGAAUUUCCAUCAUUCAAUUAUAGUAAUUCCUAUGCUAACAUCAUGCAUGUCAAGAUAAUGGAGAUAAGCAAAGGCAAAACCCCUUCCAAUCUUCAAAGUUCAUUUGCAAACACAACAGUUGGUGGCGGGAGGUCUCUUGUUGCAUCACAGGUGAACUUCCCACAUAGCAACCAACUAGAGAGAUAUGCAAUGUCAUCUGGCCGGCUGCCUCUGCAAAAUGAAAAGGCACCAUUCAUAAGCAACACCACAUCAGUGGGAGGCUUCACUGAGCAAAUGGCACCAUUCAACAUGGCAAGCAACAUAAGCUCAGUAGGAACGAUGUUGAAUGGUAGCUCUACACUUGAUGCAAGUAGAACUUCAACUAAUGAUACUCAUCUGGUCAACAGUGAAAGAACUACUUUGAUGCUUCACACCCUUCAGACAGAUGAUUUCGUCUCAUUGACUCAGCUACAUGAUGGUGGGGAUGGAGCUAGCAUUGUUCCUAUGCAAGAAGGCACACUUAAUCAGCAACCUCUUAAUGAUCAUUUGAAUGAAAUCAGUGCCUUCUCAAUGGAUGAUAUAUUUUCCAACAUGCAUGUGGAAGAUUUCACUGGAGAUGAUGCUAUCGUGGAAGAAGCAUGA